GAAGUCAAGCAGAGGCCACCCGCUUCUCACCUGCCAGCGAUUGCUGCUCGGCAUGGUUGCAAUCACCGAUAGCGUAUCAUGUGUUUGUUUGGUUUGUGGGUGCAAAGUGCUUGCGCCCACUAUUUUUUAUGGAG
rfam:Clostridium sp. CAG:1024 genomic scaffold, scf144